rnacentral:rRNA from 1 species
AUUGAACGCUGGCGGCAUGCCUUACACAUGCAAGUCGAACGGCAGCACGGGUGCUUGCACCUGGUGGCGAGUGGCGAACGGGUGAGUAAUACAUCGGAACAUGUCCUGUAGUGGGGGGUAGCCCGGCGAAAGCCGGAUUAAUACCGCAUACGAUCUACGGAUGAAAGCGGGGGACCUGCGGGCCUCGCGCUAUAGGGUUGGCCGAUGGCUGAUUAGCUAGUUGGUGGGGUAAAGGCCUACCAAGGCGACGAUCAGUAGCGGGUCUGAGAGGACGACCAGCCACCCUGGAACUGAGACACGGCCCAGACGCCUACGGGAGGCAGCAGUGGGGAAUGUUGGACAAUGGGCGAAAGCCUGAUCCAGCAAGGCCGCGUGUGUGAAGAAGGCCUUCGGGUUGUAAAGCACUUUUGUCCGGAAAGAAAUCCUUGGCCCUAAUACGGUCGGGGGAUGACGGUACCGGAAGAAUAAGCACCGGCUAACUACGUG